AUGAACGCUGGCGGCGUGCCUAAUACAUGCAAGUCGAGCGAACGGACGAGAAGCUUGCUUCUCUGAUGUUAGCGGCGGACGGGUGAGUAACACGUGGAUAACCUACCUAUAAGACUGGGAUAACUUCGGGAAACCGUAGCUAAUACCGGAUAAUAUUUUGAACCGCAUGGUUCAAAAGUGAAAGACGGUCUUGCUGUCACUUAUAGAUGGAUCCGCGCUGCAUUAGCUAGUUGGUAAGGUAACGGCUUACCAAGGCAACGAUGCAUAGCCGACCUGAGAGGGUGAUCGGCCACACUGGAACUGAGACACGGUCCAGACUCCUACGGGAGGCAGCAGUAGGGAAUCUUCCGCAAUGGGCGAAAGCCUGACGGAGCAACGCCGCGUGAGUGAUGAAGGUCUUCGGAUCGUAAAACUCUGUUAUUAGGGAAGAACAUAUGUGUAAGUAACUGUGCACAUCUUGACGGUACCUAAUCAGAAAGCCACGGCUAACUGCGUG
rnacentral:rRNA from 1 species